GGUCGUUCCCAAACUUGCUCGAAAUGCAUCCGUAGAAAAACCUUUUGCCAAAGCUUGAGUUUUUCACUUCUUUUGGAGUUUCAAAGGGGGAUCUUGCAAAAACUGAAGCUUUUGGCUACGAGCUUGGAGAAACGGAUUGCACCCACUUAUGAUUUCCUUAGGAGUCUGCUUUCUCAGAAAAAUGCUGUUUCCGUUUUAAGGCGCGGCUCCUGGAUUUUCGCUGAAGGACACUCCAAGAAGGUGGCACCAAAUAUUGAGGUUUUGAAAGAAUCAGGUAUACCCCAAUCCUGCAUUUCUCAUUUGCUUGCUUAUCACCCCAAGGUUUUUAUGCGAAAGCCUAAAGAGCUUGGUGGACUUGUGGAUGAGGUUAAGCAAAUGGGUUUUAAUCUGCAAAAAUCAAAUUCGGUACUCGCAAUAUAGGCAUUGUGUGGUAACAAUAGGUCUAUAUGGAAUCGAAGUCGCCAACUUUAUAAGAGGUGGGGUUGGUCUAAGGAUGAUGUUCUCUCUGCUUUCAGGCGGCACCCGCGCUGUAUGACUAUGUCGGAGAAGAAACUAAUACUAGCAAUGGAUUUUUUAGUGAACGAGAUGGGGUGGUCUUAAAAAAUGAUUGCAAAACGGCCACUGGUCCUCCGUUACAGUUUGGAGAAGAGGUUGGUUCCAAGGUGUUCGGUUGCUAAAGUUUUGUUGUUGAAAGGAUUGAUAAAGGGGAUUGAAAAUGUGAGUUUGAGUUCCUUGUUGGAGCCCGUGGAAAAGUGUUUCUUGGUGAGGUUUGUAGCCAGAUAUAUAAAUGAAGUACCUCAGUUAUUGAGUGUGUAUCAAGGAAAAGUUGGAAUCCAGGAUGUAUGAUGUUCGUUGGUCAAAAGAGGUUAGAUAUUCGUUAUAAUUUGAGCCGCCUUGGUGUUGUAUCGUAGAUGCAGUGCUGUUCAUUUCAUUGGUAGCAGCUAACUUUUGGCUCAACAAUGUUGAUUAUUCUUGACUUUGUUCGUGUGGGAACUGCCUUCGGUAGACUCUACACUUAUGCUUCUUCUGUUGGGGUUUUAUUUAAUCCAUUGUAUGCAUUGUGUUGAACUAAUUGGUCCAUAUGAGAUUGAAGCCGCCAAGUUUAAAGACGUGGGGUUGGUCUGACGAUGAUGUUCUCUCUGCUUUCAAGCGGUACCACACAGUAUGCUUGUGUCCGAGAGGAAACAAAUGCUAGCAAUGGAGUUUUAAGUGAACCAGAUUGGAUGUCCGUCAACAACUAUUGCCAAGUACCCAAAGGUCCUCGGUUUCAGUUUUGAGAAGAGUUUGGUUCCAAAGUGUUCUGUUGUUUUGGUUUUGUUAUUGAAAGGAUUGAUGAAUGAGAUUGAAAAUGUAGAGCACGUCUUGGCGAGGUUUGUAUCGGGAUAUGUAGGUGAUGUACCCCAAAUAUAUAGUGUAUAUAUAAAGGAAAAGUUGAAGUUGAGGAUGUAAAAUGUUGGUAGUAUAACAAUUUUGUCCCCCUUGAUGUAGAUGCAGCACCGCUUUUGGCUCACUAUCUUUCAAAUUAUAAGAUGAUUAGCAUCCGCAGAUCUUUAUCACACUGGAAGCCACCUUUUCAUUGUCCUACUAGUACAAACACACGUCGGUCGUAUUUUAAACUUUGUACCUUACUGCUCCAGUGCAGACUUCAGUGCUUCUUGGCGAGCUUUCGUCUUAUUUUGUUUAAGUUCAUCCAAUUUUCGUUCAUUCCGCAAAUACUAAAGCCUAAAGAUCUUGGUCAACUUGUGGAUGAGGUUAAGCAAAUGGGUUUUAACCUGCAAAAAUCAACUUCUGUGAUGGCAAUAAAAGCAUAGUGUGCUGCCACUAGGUCUACAUGGAAUCGAAGUCACGAAGUUUAUAAGAGGUGGGGUUGGUCUGAGGAUGAUGUUCUCUCUGCUUUCAAGCGAUACCCCCAUUGUAUGAUGGUGUCCAAGAAGAAACUAAUUCUCACAAUGGAGUUUUUAGUGAAAAAGAUGGGAUGGCCGUCGGUAAUGAUUGCGAAAUCACCAGUGGUCACGUGUUACAGUUUGGAGAAGAGAUUUAUACCCCAGUGUUCAGUUGUUAAAGUUUUGUUGCUGAAAGGAUGAUAAACGGGAUUGAAAAUGUGAGUUUGGGUUCUGUGUUGGUGCCUCCGGAGAAGUGCUUCUUGGAGAGGUUUGUGGCCAGAUAUAUAGAUGAAGUUCCUCAGUUAUUGAGUGUGUAUCAAGGAAGAGUUGAAGUCCAGGAUGUAUGAUGUUCGAAGGUCAAAAGAGGUUGGAUAUUCGUUGUAACUUGAGACGCCUUGAUGUAGUAUCGUAGAUGUAGUUCUGUUCAAUUCCAUUGGUAGCAGCUAACUUUUGGCUCAGCAUUGUAAGUUUGUGUUCUUAACUAGUGUUCUAUAUUUCUCUAGAAAUGAAUUCAUUGAGAUUUGACCUGCUCC